GCCGGCGUAGCUCAAUUGGUAGAGCAGCGGAAUCGUAAUCCGCAGGUUAGGAGUUCGAGUCUCCUCGCCGGCUCCA
rnacentral:tRNA from 1 species